AUCGCUUCUAGAGCUCUUGGCUGAGUUCAAGUGUGGUGUCUGUCUAAUCAGUUUAAGUAUCAGAUACACCUGUAGCCGAGGAUCAUCGGCUCCAUGGGAGUUUUGGAGCUGGGAGAUGGAAUAGGAGUUUGCUCCGUCAGCUCCACACAGGGACCUGGUUUUGCAGCACGUCCAGGAAUGGCGCCCCACCU
ensembl:snRNA U2 U2 spliceosomal RNA